rnacentral:rRNA from 1 species
UACGUAGGGGGCGAGCGUUAUCCGGAUUCACUGGGUGUAAAGGGAGCGUAGACGGCCAUGCAAGCCAGGGGUGAAAGCCCGGGGCCCAACCCCGGGACUGCCCUUGGAACUGCAUGGCUGGAGUGCGGGAGGGGCAGGCGGAAUUCCUGGUGUAGCGGUGAAAUGCGUAGAUAUCAGGAGGAACACCGGCGGCGAAGGCGGCCUGCUGGACCGCGACUGACGUUGAGGCUCGAAAGCGUGGGAAGCGAACAGG